AGAAUCAACGCUGGCGGCGUGCCUAACACAUGCAAGUCGAACGAGAAAGUGGAGCAAUCCAUGAGUAAAGUGGCGACCGGGUGAGUAACACGUGACUAACCUGCCUUCGAGGUGGGGGAUAACCUCGGGAAACCGGGGCUAAUACCGCAUAACAUCUUUGAAGUGGAAAUUUCGGAGAUCAAAGGGGCAAUUCGCUUGAAGAGGGGGUCGCGGCUGAUUAGCUAGUUGGCGGGGUAACGCCCACAAGGCUUAGAUCGGUA
rnacentral:rRNA from 1 species